GGAGAGAUGGCCGAGUGGUUAGAAGGCGGCGGUCUCGAAAACCGUUAUAUGUAUUAAAGCAUAUCGAGGGUUCGAAUCCCCCUCUCUCCGCCA
rnacentral:tRNA from 1 species